ACCUACGGGGGGCAGCAGUGGGGAAUAUUGCACAAUGGGGGAAACCCUGAUGCAGCGACGCCGCGUGAGUGAAGAAGUAUUUCGGUAUGUAAAGCUCUAUCAGCAGGGAAGAAAUACUGACCUUACGGUCAGCAGACGGUACCUGACUAAGAAGCCCCGGCUAACUACGUGCCAGCAGCCGCGGUAAUACGUAGGGGGCAAGCGUUAUCCGGAUUUACUGGGUGUAAAGGGAGCGUAGACGGCAGCGCAAGUCUGAAGUGAAAUCCCAUGGCUUAACCAUGAAACUGCUUUGGAAACUGUGCAGC
rnacentral:rRNA from 1 species